AACAGUGUUUCACUCGAAGAAGCAUGAUUUUGAUAAACACUAAAUAUGGAAGAGUGCAAAAACUUUUCUUUCAUACUUCUCUUUUGUUUUUGUUUUUAUUUUCAAAAUUUUGAACUUUGAUUUUAAUUAUAGAUUUGAUUAUUUCAUCUGAAGGUAUAAGCGUUUUUUAUUUUUUUUGUUCUUUUAUUUGAAAAUAUAAUAUUUUUUUAAUAAAUGACUACGAUGACAAUAUAACUCUAAAAAUUAUAUAAUAUGAUCCCAAACUAAAUAAUUAUGUUUUGGUAUAAACCGAAUAAACCAAAAACCGACGGUAUAUAAACCAAACCGAACCAAAGUAAAUUUGAAUUUAGAAUAGUAGUUAUAUUUUACUAACCGAAAU
rnacentral:lncRNA from 1 species